CAAAACGUAGCUUANGCCAUCUAAAGCAUCCGGCUUACACCCGGAAGA
rnacentral:tRNA from 1 species